rnacentral:lncRNA from 1 species
AAUACCCUGUAAGAUUUAAUACUCGAAUAACUCAUGAGAAACCAUAUCUAGCUUUCCAUUAUUUUGAGAGUAUUUUCCAUUAUUUCCAAAUAAUUGCGAGUAAUCUGACUAAAAUGAGAACAGGUUUUAGAUUCACAGUUUGCAUGGCUUUAGUCCAUCAUUGGGAGACUCAGUCACUUGGACCUGUGGUAAGUAGUGCUCGGUUUAGUAGCUCUUCUUCAAGACAACCUAAAAGCAGAAAGAGACACAUAGGGCUGGGUUUCCAGUAUUUCUUUGAAAAGAAUGACCUUUCUUUUAGUAAGACUCCACUUACUAAAGGUUCUUCCAUGUUCCCAUCAUGCCAUAGGUUGGCAGUAUGUACUGGCAUCUAGGGAACACACAUCCAAACUAUAGUAUCACAUAUUUAACAUUGUAGGCUUUGAUAGGAAUUAUACAUAAAAAUGUUUCUAAUGUUGGAUGUGUGUAACAUUUAGCAAAGAGACCCCAAAUCUCUUUAGUUUUCUAUUCUGGGAAGGGCAAACAGUAAGUAUAGUACAUAGGCAAUCUUAAAGGUGAUGAAGAAGAAAUAGAACAGUGUACAUAGAAUGUUAGAGAAAGGUGGUAAGGGAGAAUCCUCUCUGCUG